CUGCCCAUGCUGCUGGUUCCGCUGGGCAGCAGCUGGAGCCUGCCGCCGCUGUGGCAAUGGCUGCUGGCCACGCCCGUGCAGUUCUGGCUGGGCUGGC
rnacentral:tRNA from 1 species